GAUGGCAGCCCUCUGAUCGAGGUUUGAUUAAAUUAAAUUGUGACAGCUCAUCCAUAGGAAACCCCGGGUUCGCUGGUGCGGGAACUCUCCUUAGAGAUCAUGAUGGCCUUUGGGUCGCUGGUUGUUAUCGUUUUCUGGAUUUUACAUCAAAUAUGACAGCAGAGCUUUGGGCUCUUCGCGACGGUUUAUCAUUAGCAUCAUCUCUUAAUGUUGAUUCUUUAAUUGUUGAAGUGGAUGCUACAGCAUUUAUUUCUCUGAUUUCUGUUGACGAAUGCACAAAACUUUCACUCAGAUCUUUGGUUGUGGAUUGCAGGACUAUAUCCGCGACCUUCCGCCGUAGUCGGUUGGUCCAUGUUUUCAGAGAGAGCAAUCGUUGUGCAGACGCGUUGGCACGCAAAGGCAGCAACCCAACUUUUCUCUAAAAUUUAUUCUCUCGGGACUAAUCGCUUGC
rnacentral:lncRNA from 1 species